rnacentral:rRNA from 1 species
AUUGAACGCUAGCGGGAUGCCUUACACAUGCCAGUCGAACGGAGUGGCGAACGGGUGAGUAAUGUAUCUGAACGUGCCCAGUAGCGGGGGAUAACUACGCGAAAGCGUAGCUAAUACCGCAUACUAUUGGAGCUGCCUAUAUCGGAUUAGCUAGUUGGGGGGGUAACGGCUCACCAAGGCGACGAUCCGUAGCUGGUUUAAGAGGACGACCAGCCAAACUGGGAAUGAGACAAGGCCCAGACUCCUACGGGAGGCAGCAGUGGGGAAUUUUGGACAAUGGGGGAAACCCUGAUCCAGCCAUCCCGCGUGUGCGAUGAAGGCCUUCGGGUUGUAAAGCACUUUUGGCAGGAAAGCGGUACCUGCAGAAUAAGCACCGGCUAACUACGUGCCAGCAGCCGCGGUAAUUC